GUGCCAGCCGCUGCGGUAAUACGUAGGGUGCGAGCGUUGUCCGGAAUUACUGGGCGUAAAGAGCUCGUAGGUGGUUUGUCGCGUUGUUCGUGAAAUCUCACGGCUUAACUGUGAGCGUGCGGGCGAUACGGGCAGACUAGAGUACUGCAGGGGAGACUGGAAUUCCUGGUGUAGCGGUGGAAUGCGCAGAUAUCAGGAGGAACACCGGUGGCGAAGGCGGUCUCUGGGCAGUAACUGACGCUGAGG
rnacentral:rRNA from 1 species